UGAGGAAUUUUGGGCAAUGGGCGAAAGCCUGACCCAGCAACGCCGCGUGAAGGAUGAAGUAUUUCGGUAUGUAAACUUCGAAAGAAUAGGAAGAAUAAAUGACGGUACUAUUUAUAAGGUCCGGCUAACUACGUGCCAGCAGCCGCGGUAAUACGUAGGGACCAAGCGUUGUUCGGAUUUACUGGGCGUAAAGGGCGCGUAGGCGGCAAUUCAAGUCAUCUGUGAAAUCUCCGGGCUUAACUCGGAACGGUCAGAUGAUACUGCUUUGCUAGAGUGCAGAAGGGGCAAUCGGAAUUCUUGGUGUAGCGGUGAAAUGCGUAGAUAUCAAGAGGAACACCUGAGGUGAAGACGGGUUGCUGGGCUGACACUGACGCUGAGGCGCGAAAGCUAGGGGAGCAAACGGGAUUAGAUACCCCAGUAGUCCCUGAGCGGGCUGGCAAGGCGCAU
rnacentral:rRNA from 1 species